GAAGUAUCUUGGUAUGUAAACCUCUUUUCUCAAGAAAGAAGUUCUGACGGUACUUGAGGAAUAAGCAUCGGCUAACUCCGUGCCAGCAGCCGCGGUAAUACGGAGGGUGCAAGCGUUGUCCGGAUUUAUUGGGUUUAAAGGGUUCGUAGGCGGGAAAUUAAGUCAGUGGUGAAAGCCUGCAGCUUAACUGUAGAACUGCCAUUGAUACUGUAGGGCUUGAGUGUUGUUGAGGCAGGCGGAAUUUAUGGUGUAGCGGUGAAAUGCAUAGAUACCAUAAAGAACACCAAUAGCGUAGGCAGCUUACUGGAGUAUAACUGACGCUGAGGCACGAAAGCAUGGGUAGCGAACAGGAUUAGAUACCCUGGUAGUCCACGCCCUAAAC
rnacentral:rRNA from 1 species